CGGUUCUAACAAAAGACUUCUUGGUGGC
rnacentral:piRNA from 1 species